AUAGUUACUUGGGACAACAGUUUUAGCAGGGCUCUCUUUCUCCUUUCCUGAUCUCUCUGUUAAGCUGCCUGGCUCAUUUGAUAUUACAUCCAAAUUAUCAGCUGAUUGCUCUAUUGUUUUGGACAAUGCCCUGGGGCAUACCAAAAUGUGUCUGGAAUUGGUGAGUUCUUGGUCUUACUGACUUUAAGAAUGAAGUUGCGGACUUCUGCGGUGAUCCACCCUACCACAUAUUGUCUCCUAAUGGCCGUCCAGUUUAUCCUAGAGCCCUUGUAUGACACAGGCCUAUUGAAGCAUAGGAGAUGCCAAUAUUUUACCUCUUGGGUACUUUCUGUGUAGAAGAUUCAUAACAAGAACAAUACUUAUUCUGUAAUUCUUUAUAUAAAGCUCCAGAGGGAAGUGAGAAGGAUGUUCACUUGCUGGUGAGAGAAGGAGCUGGUUCCAUCCAUUAUGCAGUCCCCUGGGAGCGCUAAAUGCAACUUUAUCUCAAUGGGGAGUGGACGAUGAGCAGGACGUCGCUAGAGGGAAAGAGCCUCACUUCCCGUUUCCUUUGGCAGCGCCCUUUUCCCGACCUAA
rnacentral:antisense_RNA from 1 species